rnacentral:rRNA from 1 species
CAAUAGCGUAUAUUAAAGUUGUUGCAGUUAAAAAGCUCGUAGUUGGAUUUCUGGAUGGAGCGACCGGUCGGGCAUUAAUUUGUCUGCACUGGAGUCGGUUCCGUCCAUCCUCUUGGAAAGUGCGUGGGGCAUUAAGUUGUCUGGCGUAUGAUCCAAGUCGUUUACUGUGAAAAAAUUAGAGUGUUUAAAGCAGGCCUUCGCCUUGAAUACAUUAGCAUGGAAUAAUAAGAUAGGACUUUGGUCUAUUUUGUUGGUUUGCAGACCGAAGUAAUGAUUAAUAGGGAUAGUUGGGGGUAUUUAUAUUCCGAUGUCAGAGGUGAAAUUCUUAGAUUUUCGGAAGAUAAACUUAUGCGAAAGCAUUUACCAAGGAUGUUUNCACUAA